GGCUGGCGAGAUGGCUCAGUGGUUAAGAGCGCCAACUGCUCAUCUGAAGGUCCUGAGUUCAAAUCCCAGCAACCA
rnacentral:tRNA from 1 species